rnacentral:tRNA from 1 species
GCCUGGGUGGCUCAGUCAGUUGAGCAUCUGACUUUGGCUCAGGUCAUGAUCUCGCAGUCUGUGAGUUCGAGCCCCGCGUCGGGCU